CAGAGCUGUGGAGUGUGACAAUGGUGUUUGUGUCUAAACUAUCAAACGCCAUUAUCACACUAAAUAGCUACUG
rfam:Pongo abelii chromosome 18.